CUCACUGGUCUUUCUCUUACAUACAUAACAUAACAUAACAUUCCAAUAUGCCAGGGACGUAGAAUGGGCCUCACUGGUCUUUCUCUUAACAUAGUCCAGGGGAGUAGAAUGGGCCUCACUGGCAAUCCAUACCGUAUCAUCAUCAUAUCAUACCAUAGGAGGACUAGAGGAUCAUUCAAUAGCCAAUCCGCAUCCACAUCAUAUUAUGCAAUGCAACAUAUUCGUGAAUACUAAUGCAAACAACCUAAAAUAUCACAUGGC
rnacentral:lncRNA from 1 species